GGAGGGAUGCGAGAGCGGACGAAUCGGCACGCCUGGAGAGCGUGUGUGGGCCUGCGCCCACCGUGGGUUCGAAUCCCACUCCCUCCG
rnacentral:tRNA from 1 species